rnacentral:rRNA from 1 species
UUGGCUUAGAAGCAGCCAUCCUUCAAAGAAAGCGUAAUAGCUCACUGAUCGAGUCCUUCCGCGCGGAAGAUGUAACGGGGCUAAGUUGAUAACCGAAGCUGCGGAUUCACACUUUGAGUGUGAGUGGUAGGGGAGCGUUCUGUAAGCCUGUGAAGGUGGAUCGUAAGGUCUGCUGGAGGUAUCAGAAGUGCGAAUGCUGACAUGAGUAACGAUAAAGCGGGUGAAAAGCCCGCUCGCCGCAAACCCAAGGUUUCCUGCUCUACGUUAAUCGGAGCAGGGUGAGUCGGUUCCUAAGGCCAGGCUGAGAAGCGUAGCUGAUGGAAAUCAGGUUAAUAUUCCUGAACCGACGUUGAAUGCGAUGGGGUGACGGAGCAGCCAGAGUGGACCGGGUGUUGGAUGUCCCGGCUUCCGAGCGAUGGGUGCCUGCAGGCAAAUCCGCAGGCGUAUACCCAGGACGAAGGAUCGGGUCUUCUUUUGAAGACGAAGCCACUGGAAGCGUUUCCAGGAAAAACCUCUAAGCUUCAGUUCAACGGCGACCGUACCGUAAACCGACACAGGUGGGUGAGCUGAAUAUGCUCAGGCGCUUGAGAGAACUCGGGAGAAGGAACUCGGCAAAUUGACACCGUAACUUCGGAAGAAGGUGUGCCUUUGUAGCUUGACGGGAGAGAAACCCGAAGGGCGAAGAGGUCUCAGAGAAUCGGUGGCUGUAACUGUUUACUAAAAACACAGCGCUCUGCAAAGAUGAAAGUCGACGUAUAGGGCGUGAUGCCUGCCCGGUGCUGGAAGAUUAAUUGAUGGGGUGCAAGCUCCUGAUCGAAGUCCCAGUAAACGGCGGCCGUAACUAUAACGGUCCUAAGGUAGCGAAAUUCCUUGUCGGGCAAGUUCCGACCUGCACGAAUGGCAUAAUAAUGGCCACACUGUCUCCUCCCGAGACUCAGUGAAAUUGAAAUGUUUGUGAUGAUGCAAUCUCCCCGCGGCUAGACGGAAAGACCCCAUGAACCUUAACUGUAGCUUUGCAUUGGACUUUGAACCGAUCUGUGUAGGAUAGGCGGGAGGCUUUGAAGAAUGGACGCCAGUUCAUUCGGAGCCGUCGUUGAAAUACCGCCCUGAUUUGUUUGAGGUUCUAACCUGGGACAGUUAUCCUGUCCGGGGACCGUGCAUGGUAGGCAGUUUGACUGGGGCGGUCUCCUCCUAAAGGGUAACGGAGGAGUGCGAAGGUACGCUAAUCACGGUCGGAAAUCGUGAGGAUACUGCAAUGGGAAAAGCGUGCCUGACUGCGAGACAGACAAGUCGAGCAGAUGCGAAAGCAGGUCAUAGUGAUCCGGUGGCUUCUGUAUGGAAGGGCCAUCGCUCAACGGAUAAAAGGUACUCUGGGGAUAACAGGCUGAUACCGCCCAAGAGUUCAUAUCGACGGCGGUGUUUGGCACCUCGAUGUCGGCUCAUCUCAUCCUGGGGCUGUAGCCGGUCCCAAGGGUAUGGCUGUUCGCCAUUUAAAGAGGUACGUGAGCUGGGUUUAAAACGUCGUGAGACAGUUUGGUCCCUAUCUACCGCGGGCGCUGGAAGAUUGACAGGGGCUGCUCCUAGUACGAGAGGACCGGAGUGGACGCACCUCUGGUGUAUCGGUUGUGACGCCAGUCGCAUUGCCGAGUAGCUAUGUGCGGAAGAGAUAACCGCUGAAAGCAUCUAAGCGGGAAACUUGCCUGAAGAUUAGUCUUCCCGGAGGCUUGACCUCCCUGAAGGGUCGUCCGAGACCAGGACGUUGAUAGGCCAGGUGUGGAAGCGCUGUGAGGCGUGAAGCUAACUGGUACUAAUUGCCCGUGCGGCUUGAUCCU